UGCACCGAAGCUGCGGCAGCGAACGUAUCACUUAAAGCGAUUCAGCGGGUUACGAUUGACGGAGCGAAGCGACGUCAAAGCGUAUACAAAGUCGAGUCGGUUUAAGGAUACGUUCGUUGGGUAGGGGAGCGUUCUGUAAGCCUGUGAAGGUGGCCUGUGAGGGUUGCUGGAGGUAUCAGAAGUGCGAAUGCUGACAUAAGUAACGAUAAAGCGGGUGAAAAGCCCGCUCGCCGGAAGACCAAGGGUUCCUGUCCAACGUUAAUCGGGGCAGGGUGAGUCGACCCCUAAGGCGAGGCCGAAAGGCGUAGUCGAUGGGAAACGGGUUAAUAUUCCCGUACUUGGUGUUACUGCGAAGGGGGGACGGAGAAGGCUAUGUUGGCCGGGCGACGGUUGUCCCGGUUUAAGCGUGUAGGUGUGUGUUCCAGGUAAAUCCGGUUCACUUUAACACUGAGGCGUGAUGACGAGGCACUACGGUGCUGAAGUAACAAAUGCCCUGCUUCCAGGAAAAGCCUCUAAGCAUCAGGUAACAUCAAAUCGUACCCCAAACCGACACAGGUGGUCAGGUAGAGAAUACCAAGGCGCUUGAGAGAACUCGGGUGAAGGAACUAGGCAAAAUGGUGCCGUAACUUCGGGAGAAGGCACGCUGACACGUAGGUGAAGUGAUUUACUCAUGGAGCUGAAGUCAGUCGAAGAUACCAGCUGGCUGCAACUGUUUAUUAAAAACACAGCACUGUGCAAACACGAAAGUGGACGUAUACGGUGUGACGCCUGCCCGGUGCCGGAAGGUUAAUUGAUGGGGUCAGCGCAAGCGAAGCUCCUGAUCGAAGCCCCGGUAAACGGCGGCCGUAACUAUAACGGUCCUAAGGUAGCGAAAUUCCUUGUCGGGUAAGUUCCGACCUGCACGAAUGGCGUAAUGAUGGCCAGGCUGUCUCCACCCGAGACUCAGUGAAAUUGAACUCGCUGUGAAGAUGCAGUGUACCCGCGGCAAGACGGAAAGACCCCGUGAACCUUUACUAUAGCUUGACACUGAACAUUGAGCCUUGAUGUGUAGGAUAGGUGGGAGGCUUUGAAGUGUGGACGCCAGUCUGCAUGGAGCCGACCUUGAAAUACCACCCUUUAAUGUUUGAUGUUCUAACGUGGACCCGUUACCCGGGUUGCGGACAGUGUCUGGUGGGUAGUUUGACUGGGGCGGUCUCCUCCUAAAGAGUAACGGAGGAGCACGAAGGUUGGCUAAUCCUGGUCGGACAUCAGGAGGUUAGUGCAAUGGCAUAAGCCAGCUUGACUGCGAGCGUGACGGCGCGAGCAGGUGCGAAAGCAGGUCAUAGUGAUCCGGUGGUUCUGAAUGGAAGGGCCAUCGCUCAACGGAUAAAAGGUACUCCGGGGAUAACAGGCUGAUACCGCCCAAGAGUUCAUAUCGACGGCGGUGUUUGGCACCUCGAUGUCGGCUCAUCACAUCCUGGGGCUGAAGUAGGUCCCAAGGGUAUGGCUGUUCGCCAUUUAAAGUGGUACGCGAGCUGGGUUUAGAACGUCGUGAGACAGUUCGGUCCCUAUCUGCCGUGGGCGCUGGAGAACUGAGGGGGGCUGCUCCUAGUACGAGAGGACCGGAGUGGACGCAUCACUGGUGUUCGGGUUGUCAUGCCAAUGGCACUGCCCGGUAGCUAAAUGCGGAAGAGAUAAGUGCUGAAAGCAUCUAAGCACGAAACUUGCCCCGAGAUGAGUUCUCCCUGAGACUUAAAGUCUCCUGAAGGAACGUUGAAGACGACGACGUUGAUAGGCCGGGUGUGUAAGCGCAGCGAUGCGUUGAGCUAACCGGUACUAAUGAACCGUGAGGCUUAACCCUACAACGCCGAAG
rnacentral:rRNA from 1 species